rnacentral:rRNA from 1 species
GGGGGUGGAAAGUUUUUUCGGUCGGGGAUGGGCUCGCGGCCUAUCAGCUUGUUGGUGGGGUAACGGCCUACCAAGGCGAUUACGGGUAGCCGGCCUGAGAGGGCGACCGGCCACACUGGGACUGAGACACGGCCCAGACUCCUGCGGGAGGCAGCAGUGGGGAAUAUUGCGCAAUGGGCGAAAGCCUGACGCAGCGACGCCGCGUGGGGGAUGACGGCCUUCGGGUUGUAAACCUCUUUUACCACUCACGCAGGCCCCACGUUUUCCUGGGGUUGACGGUAGGUGGGGAAUAAGGACCGGCUAACUACGUGCCAGCAGCCGCGGUAAUACGUAGGGUCCGAGCGUUGUCCGGAAUUAUUGGGCGUAAAGAGCUCGUAGGCGGCGUGUCGCGUCUGCUGUGAAAGACCGGGGCUUAACCCCGGUUCUGCAGUGGAUACGGGCAUGCUAGAGGUAGGUAGGGGAGACUGGAAUUCCUGGUGUAGCGGUGAAAUGCGCAGAUAUCAGGAGGAACACCGGUGGCGAAGGCGGGUCUCUGGGCCUUACCUGACGCUGAGGAGCGAAAGCAUGGGGAGCGAACAGGAUUAGAUACCCUGGUAGUCCAUGC